rnacentral:rRNA from 1 species
GACGAACGCUGGCGGCGUGCCUAAUACAUGCCAGUUGAGCGCUGAAGGUUGGUACUUGUACCAACUGGAUGAGCAGCGAACGGGUGAGUAACGCGUGGGGAAUCUGCCUUUGAGCGGGGGACAACAUUUGGAAACGAAUGCUAAUACCGCAUAAAAACUUUAAAAACAAGUUUUAAGUUUGAAAGAUGCAAUUGCAUCACUCAAAGAUGAUCCCGCGUUGUAUUAGCUAGUUGGUGAGGUAAAGGCUCACCAAGGCGAUGAUACAUAGCCGACCUGAGAGGGUGAUCGGCCACAUUGGGACUGAGACACGGCCCAAACUCCUACGGGAGGCAGCAGUAGGGAAUCUUCGGCAAUGGACGAAAGUCUGACCGAGCAACGCCGCGUGAGUGAAGAAGGUUUUCGGAUCGUAAAACUCUGUUGGUAGAGAAGAACGUUGGUGAGAGUGGAAAGCUCAUCAAGUGACGGUAACUACCCAGAAAGGGACGGCUAACUACGUG